UUAGUGAUGGAGAGACAGGUAGGGUUGAACCACAGGAGUUAGUGAUGGAGAGACAGGUAGUGUUGAACCACAGGAGUUAGUGAUGGACAGACAGGUAGUGUUGAACCACAGGAGUUAGUGAUGGAGAGACAGGUAGUGUUGAACCACAGGAGUUAGUGAUGGAGAGACAGGUAGUGUUGAACCACAGGAGUUAGUGAUGGACAGACAGGUAGGGUUGAACCACAGGAGUUAGUGAUGGACAGACAGGUAGGGUUGAACCACAGGAGUUAGUGAUGGAGAGACAGGUAGUGUUGAACCACAGGAGUUAGUGAUGGAGAGACAGGUAGUGUUGAACCACAGGAGUUAGUGAUGGACAGACAGGUAGGGUUGAACCACAGGAGUUAGUGAUGGACAGACAGGUAGGGUUGAACCACAGGAGUUAGUGAUGGACAGACAGGUAGUGUUGAACCACAGGAGUUAGUGAUGGAGAGACAGGUAGUGUUGAACCACAGGAGUUAGUGAUGGACAGACAGGUAGGGUUGAACCACAGGAGUUAGUGAUGGAGAGACAGGUAGUGUUGAACCACAGGAGUUAGUGAUGGACAGACAGGUAGGGUUGAACCACAGGAGUUAGUGAUGGACAGACAGGUAGUGUUGAACCACAGGAGUUAGUGAUGGAGAGACAGGUAGUGUUGAACCACAGGAGUUAGUGAUGGACAGACAGGUAGGGUUGAACCACAGGAGUUAGUGAUGGACAGACAGGUAGGGUUGAACCACAGGAGUUAGUGAUGGAGAGACAGGUAGUGUUGAACCACAGGAGUUAGUGAUGGAGAGACAGGUAGUGUUGAACCACAGGAGUUAGUGAUGGACAGACAGGUAGGGUUGAACCACAGGAGUCAGUGAUGGACAGACAGGUAGGGUUGAACCACAGGAGUUAGUGAUGGACAGACAGGUAGUGUUGAACCACAGGAGUUAGUGAUGGAGAGACAGGUAGUGUUGAACCACAGGAGUUAGUGAUGGACAGACAGGUAGGGUUGAACCACAGGAGUUAGUGAUGGACAGACAGGUAGGGUUGAACCACAGGAGUCAGUGAUGGACAGACAGGUAGGAUUGAACCACAGGAGUCAGUGAUGGACAGACAGGUAGUGUUGAACCACAGGAGUUAGUCAUAAAUAGACAGGUGGGAUUGAACCACAGGAGUUAGUGAUAGACAGACAGGUAGGGUUGAACCACAGGAGUUAGUGAUGGACAGACAGGUAGGGUUGAACCACAG